rnacentral:rRNA from 1 species
GACGAACGCUGGCGGCGUGCUUAACACAUGCAAGUCGAACGGAAAGGCCUGCUUUCCCUUGUGGAUUGCGGGUACUCGAGUGGCGAACGGGUGAGUAACACGUGAGUGAUCUGCCCCCAACUUGGGUAUAAGCCUGGGAAACUGGGUCUAAUUCCCGAUAGGACUGCAGGGUGGUGCCUGUGGUGGAAAACGAUUUUCUAGUGGUUGGGGAUGAGCUCGCGGCCUAUCAGCUUGUUGGUGGGGUAAUGGCCUACCAAGGCGGCGACGGGUAGCCGGCCUGAGAGCGUGGACGGCCACAUUGGGACUGAGAUACGGCCCAGACUCCUACGGGAGGCAGCAGUGGGGAAUAUUACACAAUGGGCGGAAGCCUGAUGCAGCGACGCCGCGUGGGGGAUGACGGCCUUCGGGUGGUAAACUCCUUUCGACCGCGAGGAAGCCACCUGGUUGGAAGGGUGGUGACGGUAGUGGUAGAAGAAGCACCGGCUAACUACGUG